rnacentral:lncRNA from 1 species
UAGGAACACUUAUUUGCAUCAUGCUGCAUUUGACUUAGGGGACUCAACACAGAGGUUGGGUCCGUCUAGGGCUAGCAACCUGAAAUGAAAAGACCAUUCUGAUGCAUCCUACUUGCUCUGUACAUAUAUUUGUUUCGAACCUACAUGUUGAUUGAUUUCUGAAUCUCGGGAAUGUUGAAAAAUUGAGAAAAAGAGAAAAGGAAAGAGGCAGUUAAUUUCUUAGUUUUAGAAAAAUCAAUGCCCAAAUACUGUCAAAAUUCUGCCGAAAUUUUGAGAAAAUGAAAAAAUAAGAAAAUGUUUUAUUUUUAAUAGUUAGUUUUACUAAAAAAAAGAGCAAAGAAAAAACAAAAAAACAGUCUUUUCAUUUUUGAAAAGUUGUUCGUUGAAAAAGAAAAGAAAAGGAGUCUCUAUUUUAGUUUGGAAAAAAAUAGGUUGUUUAUUGUUUGUUGAAAAAAAAGAGAGUCGUUGUUUUUUCUUGUCUUCAAAAAAUAGAAAAAGAAAAAUAGUCUUGUCGUGCCAUAAAAAAUAAAAAUAAAAAAGAGUCCUGUUUUAAAAUAGUUUGGUUAAUUUUUUCGAACUACGCGGGUUUGAUUCUCACAGGGCGUGGGAUACGUAGGCAACCCUCAUCGGGUCUAACCUUCCAUUUUGCAAAAAAAAGCCAAAAAUGUCAAAUAAGAUACCAUGAGAGAAAUAAAAUGAGAGUGUCUUAUUGUGAAAACCUUCACAGGUACCAUGAGGUGACAGUAAUUUGAGAGAAAGAACAAAUAAGAGAGGUUUAAUGGUGAAACCCCUUUGGGCACUACAAGCCGAAUAAGGAAUGCGAAUCAAAUUGGAUAAGCCCAGUCUCACAGCGAAAAGGUACAACAAGAGCUGAGCAUCAAGUUUGAUUGACAGAAUAACUGUAUGUGUAUGUCAUGGUCAUUAGAGUUGGUAUCCUCACCUGAUAGGUCUCUAAUUCGUAGUUUUCUCUUUUAGGAAUAAUCUCUUUCUGUUCCUAUAUUCCUAUUCACUCCCUCUUUCUGAGUCUGUUUGAUCAUAACAAGUGAGAAAUGACUUUAAAAUUUGCACCAGCUUUUCAAUUGCACAAAUAAUGUCACAAGUCAAGAAGAACAACAAGAGCAUUGAUAUGGUAAUAAUCAACAUGCUUUGGGGAUCCUGAUGAAACACAAAGUUUGAUAGAUGCCGGUUCAGGAGCAAUGCGAUGGGUAGAGGGUAUUAGGUGAAAAUACCAAAGGUAUCUUCCAUGGUAAGACUGACAAAAAUGGUUAACCAGCGACCAGAAAGAUAUUCCAAGCAGAAAUCAGCUGUCAUUGAAGAAUUCGGGGCCAUAUACGAGGUGUAAAAUGUGAAAGUUUGUGAAUAAGGAGUCGACAAGAAGGUCAGAAGUUAUCAGCCAAGUACCAAAGAUGGUCGGACAACGAAAAGCAUGGAAAUGAGAAAAGGAAAGUCAUCCCAAGCAGGAGUGCUACAACCAACCACCGCACUUUAAACUAACAGAAUUUUCUUUGAUUUAAAAUAGGGGCAUGGAAAUUUUUUUGAUUGUGGAAAGAUAUGCUACAGGAAGAUUAUCAAACUGGGGCAGAAAAGUUUCUGCCGUUUUGAAAAUUUUCUUGAAGUCAGGUACCCAUCUGAAGAACAUGAAGGCCAAUACAAGUUUUUUUUUUUUACAAAAAAAAGAGGGAAGUAGUUUUUAGGAAAGAAACACCAGUUUUAAGAAAAGUAAUUUUCGGAGGAAUGAAACACUAGUUUUUAGGGAAGUGAUUUUUGAAGGAGGAAAACACCAGUUUUUAGGGAAGUAGUUCUGAAGGAAGCUAAUUCAAGUUAGAAGGUAGAUAAAGCAAGUUUAGGAGGAAAAUAUUUAAUCGAUAAAAAUCUUUAGGGAAGCAGUUCUGAAGGAAGAUAAUUCAAGAAGGUAGAUAAAACAAGUUUCUAAAGAAAAUGGUUAAUCGAAAAAAUCUUAGUCUGAUGAAUUUUUCAGCUAAGAUAAAGAAAUCUUAGUUUGUUGAAUCUAUCACCUAAGAUAAGAAAUCUUAGUCUGUUGAAUCUUUCACCUAAGAUAUGAAAUCUUAGUCUGAUGAAUCUUUCUCCUAAGAUAAAGGUAGAAACCUAGUUUGAUGAAUAUUAUCCUAGGAUAAUUUGAAAAGAAGGGAAGGCAGAAGUUGAAAAAAAAAAGGAAGGCAUAAUUUGGGAAAAAGAAAGGAAAGCAUAAUUUGGGGAAAAAGAAAGGAAAGCAUAAUUUGGAAAGAAAGGAAGGCAUGAUUUGAAAAAGAAAUAAAGUUGGAAUUUGAAAGAUUAAGAAAGUCUGGAUUCGAAAAAUUGGAUCUAGUUUGAUGAUUUAUCUCCUAGGAUAAAAAUAUUAAUCUGUUGAAUCUAUUCACCUAAGAUAACAAUCUUAGUCUGUUGAAUCUUUCAUCUAGGAUAAAAAUAUUACUAUGUUGAAUCUUUUCGCCUAAGAUAACAAUCUUAGUCUGAUGAAUUUUUUACCUAAGAUAAAUAUAAGAAUCUUAGUCUAUUGAAUCUUUCACCUACAAUAAAAAUCUUAGUCCGAUGAAUUUUUCACCCAAGAUAAAGAUAAGAAUCUUAGUCUAUUGAAUCUUUACCUAAGAUAAAAAUCUUAGUCUGAUGAAUUUUUCACCUAAGAUAAAGAUAAGAAUCCUAGUCUGUUGAAUCUUUCACCUAAGACAAA